ACAUUGGUAGUUUAGUGGUAGAAUUCUCCCCUUAGAUGCAGGAGACCCAAGUUCAAUUCUUGGCCACUGUA
rnacentral:tRNA from 1 species